CCUACGGGUGGCAGCAGUGGGGGAUAUUGCACAAUGGGGGAAACCCUGAUGCAGCGACGCCGCGUGAGUGAAGAAGGAUUUCGGGAUGUAAAGCUCUAUCAGCAGGGAAGAAAAUGACAGUACCUGACCAAGAAGCCCCGGCUAACUACGUGCCAGCAGCCGCGGUAAUACGUAGGGGGCAAGCGUUAUCCGGAUUUCCUGGGUGUAAAGGGAGCGUAGACGGUUCUGUACGUCUGGAGUGAAAGCCCGGGGCCCAACCCCGGGACGGCUUUGGACACUGUGUAACUGGAGUACAGGAGGGGCAGGCGGAAUUCCUGGUGUCGCGGUGAAAUGCUUAGAUAUCAGGAGGAACACCGGCGGCGCAGGCGGCCUGCUGGACUGAAACUGACGUUGAGGCUCGAAAGCGUGG
rnacentral:rRNA from 1 species